GUGGGGAAUCUUGCGCAAUGGGCGAAAGCCUGACGCAGCUAUGCCGCGUGAAUGAUGAAGGUCUUAGGAUUGUAAAAUUCUUUCACCGGGGACGAUAAUGACGGUACCCGGAGAAGAAGCUCCGGCUAACUUCGUGCCAGCAGCCGCGGUAAUACGAAGGGGGCUAGCGUUGCUCGGAAUUACUGGGCGUAAAGGGCGCGUAGGCGGACAGCUUAGUCAGAGGUGAAAGCCCAGGGCUCAACCUUGGAAUUGCCUUUGAUACUGGCUGUCUUGAGUUUGGGAGAGGUGAGUGGAACUCCGAGUGUAGAGGUGAAAUUCGUAGAUAUUCGGAAGAACACCAGUGGCGAAGGCGACUCACUGGCCCAAUACUGACGCUGAGGCGCGAAAGCGUGGGGAGCAAACAGGAUUAGAUACCCGUGUAGUCC
rnacentral:rRNA from 1 species